AUUGAACGCUGGCGGCAGGCCUAACACAUGCAAGUCGAGCGGAUGAAGAGAGCUUGCUCUCUGAUUUAGCGGCGGACGGGUGAGUAAUGCCUAGGAAUCUGCCUGGUAGUGGGGGAUAACGUCCGGAAACGGGCGCUAAUACCGCAUACGCCCUACGGGAGAAAGCAGGGGACCUUCGGGCCUUGCGCUAUCAGAUGAGCCUAGGUCGGAUUAGCUAGUUGGUGAGGUAAUGGCUCACCAAGGCUACGAUCCGUAACUGGUCUGAGAGGAUGAUCAGUCACACUGGAACUGAGACACGGUUCAGACUCCUACGGGAGGCAGCAGUGGGGAAUAUUGGACAAUGGGCGAAAGCCUGAUCCAGCCAGCCGCGUGUGUGAAGAAGGUCUUCGGAUUGUAAAGCACUUUAAGUUGGGAGGAAGGGCAGUAAGUUAAUACCUUGCUGUUUUGACGUUACCGACAGAAUAAGCACCGGCUAACUUCGUGCCAGCCGCCGCAGUAAUAC
rnacentral:rRNA from 1 species